GUAUCUGCUUUACACGUGACACUUAUUAGAGUUAGUUGAAAUAACAUCAUAGUUAUAUGGAAUAGUUUAUAAAUGUUUAUUAAACAUCAGUAAUUUUUACAGAGCAAAUAUUAAUAGCAAGCGGCAAAAUGUUUGCAAAAUAUGUACAAAAGUAAAAAAGCCGUAAUGACUAGCCACUCAUUUUAUAAAAUCAAAGCAACACUGUCAGACCUCCUUUAGAAAUAAUUUAUUGCCAACCCUGAACUAAAGCACUGAGAGCAAAAAAAAAAAAAUUUACAACAAUAUCAGAUAAUGCUCAGUUCCUGGAAAGUUAUAAAAAGAUAUAUGUAUAAAAAAAUCCUAAACCGCAAAUACAGUCAGAUGGUUAGGCUUAGAUGCCACAAGAGUGAACACAGUUAUUUAAAUGCUAACUAUACAUUCAAGUACAGACGUAAAAAUGCUAGUGGUACAAACACUGUUCUUCAAAUUCACCUAACAGCCUAAGGCUAAGAGCAACGUGAUGGUACUUGAAAAAGCCAUGAAGUUCAACUUGUUUCAAAUGUUCAGGUUUAGACUUACACUUUCACCUUGGGUAUAAAUCUGUUAAGCCCUAACCUUGUACCGUAACACAAUGGGCAGGUACUGCGUCUUUGGAACCUGGAGACACAGACACCUGCUCACAUACAGUCCCUCUCCCCUUCUCAUGUUCACUACACGGAAAAGCCAACCUGUAUCCUCUUCUCUUAAUUAAAGACCAAAAAAAAAAAAAAAAAAGCAAAAAGCACUACUUUUAGUCCAGCAGCACAAACACAAGGACAGAUCACCUGUGACAAAUAUCACUUAAUGUGUUGAAAUGAUGGGAAAGAGAGAAAAAGUCAGAUUUCCACUUGAAAAAGACACGGAAAAGUUCUGUUCUUGAUGCCUCAAUUAAAACUCAAAAGAAAUGAAAAGGUAACAGAGUGACUUUCUCUAGGUUUAUUAGGGGACUUUAUUACAAAUGUUUCAGCUUUACAGGCAUGAUUUCAUGGAUUCAAACAAGAAAUUAAGAGUUAACACUGAUAUUUAACCUUCUCAUUACAUAUACAGAAAUAACAGUGCUACAAAUUGCAAUGGAGAGACUCUUGUUUCAGAUGGCCUGGUUUGGGGUUUUUGUCUAAAUGUAUCAUUAUAUAAUGAAAGCACCAAUUUGAGGGUUUCUCAAAUAAGGGAUCUGAGUUUCAGAACAUAACUUGGUAACUUCUUCUCUUCAUAUAAGUAAGGCAUCACCGGAUAUGUGUACUAAUGCUGAAGACACAUUUUUACCAAAAGCACAAAUACAAAUAUUGUAUACACUGGAAGUCAGGAUUUACUCAUUCCCGCUUACAAAAAAUUAUGAGUCAAUUCAAAUCAACACUUCUAAUCACUUCUGGUAUUAAGG
rnacentral:lncRNA from 1 species